rnacentral:rRNA from 1 species
UACGUAGGCAGCGAGCGUUGUUCGGAUUUACUGGGCGUAAAGGGCGUGUAGGCGGUCCUCUAAGUUUGGUGUGAAAUCUCCCGGCUCAACCGGGAGGGUGCGCCGAAAACUGGGGGACUAGAGUGCGGGAUGGGAGAGUGGAAUUCCUGGUGUAGCGGUGAAAUGCGUAGAUAUCAGGAGGAACACCGGUGGUGUAGACGGCUCUCUGGACCGUAACUGACGCUGAGACACGAAAGCGUGGGUAGCAAACAGG